rnacentral:rRNA from 1 species
AGAUUGAACGCUGGCGGCAGGCCUAACACAUGCAAGUCGAGCGGUAGAGAGGUGCUUGCAUCUCUUGAGAGCGGCGGACGGGUGAGUAAUGCCUAGGAAUCUGCCUAGUGGUGGGGGAUAACGUUCGGAAACGGACGCUAAUACCGCAUACGUCCUACGGGAGAAAGCGGGGGACCUUCGGGCCUCGCGCCAUUAGAUGAGCCUAGGUCGGAUUAGCUAGUUGGUGAGGUAAUGGCUCACCAAGGCGACGAUCCGUAACUGGUCUGAGAGGAUGAUCAGUCACACUGGAACUGAGACACGGUCCAGACUCCUACGGGAGGCAGCAGUGGGGAAUAUUGGACAAUGGGCGAAAGCCUGAUCCAGCCAUGCCGCGUGUGUGAAGAAGGUCUUCGGAUUGUAAAGCACUUUAAGUGGAGAAGGUUGUAACCUAAUACGUUGCAACUUUGACGUUACGACAGAAUAAGCACCGGCUAACUCGUGCCAGCAGCCGUA